AACGAAUAUCGGCAAACCCGUUGCGAGGCGGGGACGCAAAGCCAAGGAACUUUUAUUUAUAUUAAAGAAGAGUGCGCCCGGUUGCAAUU
rnacentral:ncRNA from 1 species